rnacentral:rRNA from 1 species
UACAGAGGGUGCGAGCGUUGUCCGGAAUCACUGGGCGUAAAGGGCUCGUAGGCGGCCAACUAAGUCAUACGUGAAAUCCCUCAGCUUAACUGGGGAACUGCGUGUGAUACUGGAUGGCUUGGAUUUGGGAGAGGGAUGCGGAAUUCCAGGUGUAGCGGUGAAAUGCGUAGAUAUCUGGAGGAACACCGGUGGCGAAGGCGGCAUCCUGGACCGGCAUUGACGCUGAGGCGCGAAAGCCAGGGGAGCAAACGGG